rnacentral:lncRNA from 1 species
UCCUUCCUCCUCCCUGCCCGCAGCUCAAGGCAGCCCUGAAAUUACCGCGGAGCUGAUUGCUGAGCACUCAGACAACUGUGGCAUUUAUCUUCAUUUCUGGCCACAUUCUCUUGUAGUGGCCUGUGGAUAAAUGACAGAGAGGAAGGUUAAGUAAAACUGUCCCUCAUCCCUGUUGGAUCCGGUGGGAAACUAGUAUUUCCUCCAGGCCAGACUGCACCAGGAUAUAACCUGAGGAUGUGGGAGCCUACAACUUCAACAUUGUUGAGUUACCAUUGUGUGUCAAUGCCAAGAUUCCUGCCUUCUGCCCUGCCCCCAGCACUUCUGAUGCUGCAUUGUAUCAGCACACGCAGAUGAAUCUCAGACCACCCAGAGCUAAGAAACUUCUCUUCAGAAUGGUCUCAUUUGGAGACAUUGAGAGGAAUGGCUUCCCUUCCUUCGCUGGAUUUUAGCAUAUUUUGGAGCAAGGAUAGAUGACAGCUUUGAGAAGAUGAGACUGCAGGGCACAGGCACACACUGGAUUGACCCAGUGGGAAGCAAGGAAAUCUCAGUUCAGAGUUGGAUGUCCUCCACAGAACAGGCUGGUUGACUCCCACGAUGCCAGUCAGCUAGGCUGAGUUUCAAGUUGUCAGUCCACUGCUAUGCUUGCUCCUCUGGGAAAAAUGAAAACACAACAACUGUGGGUUACCCAUGGACUAUUGGUGUUGGUCAACAUGUCCCUGCAGGACCCCCUCCCCAGCUAUUUCUCUUUUUAGAAGAUAGAAGCCUUGGAUACCAGUGCUGGCUGCUCCUCAGCUCGGUCAGCCGCCCAAAGCCCUCCCAGGUUCCUGUGGGCACGCUGUCACAUUCACGUUUCACUGCUCUGGACUGCGAAAACAGCUUUUCACAAACUAAACAACCAAAAGCCCCGGACAAGUGUAUCUGAAUUUGUGAAGGUCUCUGGGAGUGUUUU